AAAACAACAACAGGCAUUUUCCCUUUUUUUGAAAAUCAAAAUUUUCUCUUCAUAUCUGCUUUCUCUCGCACCGCUCCCUCUCCUCCAAAUCUCCAUAGCCACUGCCUAGCAUCGUUGCCGGAGCUUCGCCGUCGGACAUAAUCAAUUCCAAAAAGAUCAGCCUUUAUCUGGUCAGAAAACCCCAAAAUCAUCUCUUUUUCUAGUUGCUUCCAACCCCCAAAGCCGGAAGCUUUCUUGCCGCUUCCAACAUCUGAUAUCGCAAGAAAGGAAGAGAAAGUUCCAAGCUUCACCAAGAAGAGAGUUGGGAGGUCUGAAUGGAGGAGGGCAUUCUUUGUUGGUUUGAACAGAGUUAUAUGUCGACUACAAGAACACAUGCAAAAGAUUGAUAAAGAUAGAGUUGAUCAAGAUGAGUUAAUUGUACACCACAAGGAGGAAAAAAGGUUGAGGAUUGCAUUUUUGUUAUAGUGGGUUGCAUUUGUAAUUAUUGUGAAUCUUUUGAUAUGGUGCAAUGGGGUUAGAGUGGAGCACAAAAAGAUUUUGCCAAAAGUUUAGCUAGUUUGGAUCAAAUUUACAUUUUAAUAUUAUUGUUAUGAUUUGUAAUGUACUUUGUCACCCAUUUGAUGGAUUGUCUGUUUUGAAAGAUUAAAAUAAAUAAAUAAGCAUGGCACUUUGUUCAUGAAA